rnacentral:rRNA from 1 species
AGCGAACGCUGGCGGCAGGCCUAACACAUGCAAGUCGAACGAACUCUUCGGAGUUAGUGGCGGACGGGUGAGUAACACGUGGGAACGUGCCUUUAGGUUCCGAAUAACUCAGGGAAACUUGUGCUAAUACCGAAUGUGCCCUUCGGGGGAAAGAUUUAUCGCCUUUAGAGCGGCCCGCGUCUGAUUAGCUAGUUGGUGAGGUAAGGGCUCACUAAGGCGACGAUCAGUAGCUGGUCUGAGAGGAUGAUCAGCCACAUUGGGACUGAGACACGGCCCAAACUCCUACGGGAGGCAGCAGUGGGGAAUUUUGCGCAAUGGGCGAAAGCCUGACGCAGCCAUGCCGCGUGAAUGAUGAAGGUCUUAGGAUUGUAAAAUUCUUUCACCGGGGACGAUAAUGACGGUACCCGGAGAAGAAGCCCCGGCUAACUUCGUGCCAGCCGCCGCCGUAA